rnacentral:rRNA from 1 species
GGGGAAUAUUGGACAAUGGGGGAAACCCUGAUCCAGCAAUGCCGCGUGGAUGAUGAAGGUCUUCGGAUUGUAAAGUCCUUUUGGCGGGGACGAUGAUGACGGUACCCGCAGAAUAAGCUCCGGCUAACUUCGUGCCAGCAGCCGCGGUAAUACGAAGGGAGCAAGCGUUGUUCGGAUUUACUGGGCGUAAAGGGUGUGUAGGCGGUUUUGCAAGUUGGAUGUGAAAGCCCCGGGCUUAACUCGGGAAUAGCAUUCAAGACUGCAUCACUUGAGUAUGGAAGAGGUUGGUGGAAUUCCUAGUGUAGAGGUGAAAUUCGUAGAUAUUAGGAAGAACACCCGUGGCGAAGGCGGCCAACUGGUCCAUAACUGACGCUGAGACACGAAAGCGUGGGGAGCAAAC